GUUGCGCUGGCUUACUAAUGUGCAGCUGCCGGAGAAGCCGGUUUGUCACCAGCCGGUUUGGUUCGCGGCAUGAAAUCGUGUGACUUCCUUUUGUGCGUUAUUUCUCACCACACUUCUCUACCACACUAUGGAUUUUCUUUUGAGUUGCAUUGCAGUCGUUGCAGUUGUAAUAGUAAUUGCUAGUUAACGCCGAAAACAUAUACAUUGGUAGCAUGAAACAACAACAUCGCGCCAUCUUCGUGUUUGUAUAUGAACUACGAAAAAGCCCAAUAAAUAUUAGCAGCAACCGAAAAAGUGGUGUCGGUAUAUCGUCAACAACUGAAAUAAGUCGCAGCAAGACGUCUUGUGGCAGCUGAGGCAGAAUUGAAGCAUCUACAAUAUUUAGUUGCAUCGAUGCGAAGUAGUGACUAGGAAAGCAGUUGCCCGCCAUCAGUCAACGUGGCAACAUGUUAAAUGUUUGCUGAUGCCUUGGUGUUGUAGCACCAACAAAUGCUACCACUGUGGAAGGAUAGAACUUAUUCUCUAAGCAACAGUGCAAAAAUUGACUGAAUGAAAGAAGCAAGAGCGAAGCAAACGGCGAGUUCCGUUCAGAAAACGAAUCCACUGCCGCAAUCAGUGUUUCCAGAACUUUUUUAGAGAAAAGACUUGAUGAAAAAGGCCAAAUAAAACUAAAAUAUAAUUUUAUUGCGCGCUAAAUUUUUUACGCUUCACUUGUUUUUACUUAAUCAAUACAGCAUUUGGUCCGGGCAUAUCGAAACCUAAGUUCCCUGACAAAAUGUUUCCAGAUUUUUGAUACAAUUUACACUGACCGAAUAAAUAAACAGUUAAAACCAAAGCUAUUUACUUAAUUAUUUUCGAUAAGACAAAACGUAUUUAAUUUUAACGAUUUACUCAGAGGUGACUUAGUCCUACCAUAAGUGUAAAUCAAUA